CGUUGGGAGAGUAAAUGUCCAGCACACCUUCCCUGCCUGCCUGAUCUUGAUCUUGUUUCUCCCUCCUGGAUUUCCCUGUUAUGCCCUGGACCUUGUCGGAUAUCUCCCUGGCUUCUGACCUCUGGACAUCGACCUUGUUUCUGCCUCCUGACUACUGCCUCCUGCCCCUGGAUUUCUCUGCCUGUAUCUGCCUCUCCGUGUCUGACCCCAUUUCUGUGCCUUGUGUAUCAAUUCAAGCCAAUUCCCCUCAUCCUGUCGCCUGUUACCAUUUCCCCAGCUUCGACCCUGUUUAUGUCCCCUGACCACUGGAUUCCACUAACCUACUGGGUUACGUUAAACCAAGGAGUCUCAUUCACAGUCUCUCAGAUCCUCUAUGACGCCAUUCCGCUGUCACCAACCUACAGCCUUGAGGAGCUGAAAAUUAGCAUCCUUACUCUCUCACGGAUUCUGAAAAGGUUUGGCCGACGACCUCCUUUCCGGGUUCUUGGCGUUCAUGUGGAGGAUAGCUCUUCCCUUGAGAUUCCUCCUCCAGAGGUCAGAUAACUAACCGAGACACUCUCAGCACCUGCCUGCCCGCUCGCUCACCGAUCCAGCUGAGCCUCUCAACCGAAAACAAAUCACAUGGAUCACCUUCAGGAAACGCCCCUCCAUAAGCCUCCCUCAAAGAUAAUAAGCUCUGCCAGAAACAACAAUACAGAUCCUGUUGACACUUGUGUCCUGCCUUCUAGCUACUCCGGAAAAUAAACUUGUUGAAAACGUUCUCUUGUCCCUGUGUCUGAGUGGUUCCGCA